UAAUAUUAAUUAGUAUAUUUAUUAAUAAUUAUUUAUUAAUACAUUCAUUAAAAUAAUUAUUUAUUAAAAUAACUAACGGUUACACUCUUUCCACCAUAAUACCGAGAUUUGUUAACGGCAAAUAGACCUUCAUAAAUUGCCAAUGAAUUUACAAAAACGCAAACUAAAAAAUCCACACAACGCCUGAAAUCCUCGAUAACCAUUAUAGGCAAACGAAAUCGAUUUUCUCACGGAUAACACUUAUAAGCAAUCGAAACUAGUGUUUCUUUCUACGAUAACUGUUGCGUCUAACAAAUUUCCUUUCCUUCGUCGUUCAUGAUUACGAACUAUAUAACUAUUACUUGUAACUAAAAAGCAACCGAAUGGAAAUAGUAAUUGUUAUGCAACGAUGUUUUCCGCUUCGGCUGUUUAUCAAAUUAUGCGAGCAACGUGCGAAGGACAUCUAACGACACGAAUGCGGGAACGGAGCGGAGAGAGGAGGAAUUUACGAAGAAGUUUCGCCGGUUUCUCUCCGUCUAUUAUUGAGCACAUUUUUCAGUUUGUUUCUUUUUUAUUAUGUUUCUCCGUCGAUUUCUCUGUCGCUGUUUCUGUGCCUCGGGAAACUCGAUCACGGGGAGCAAACCAUUCGACGCAGCGGAUGACCUAUCCACCGAUAGGCUAUCGGUCGCCACUCGAGCGUUCUUCAAAUUCGUCACGUAGAAUCAAAUCAUAGAAAUUCGACAACCGGAUACUAAUGCACUGCUCGUAGAGACGACCGGAGACUCGAUUAUUUACAAUGGACUAGGACAUUAAUUAAACAUGCACGGAUGAAACAUCGCGGAAAAUGCUUCGCUUGAAACGUGUUUCUCCAAGGUUAAUCGGUCAAACGAUACCAUCUUCGCGAUUACCGUAACCAUCUGUCCGUGACGCACAAGAUGAAACAAUAGAAUCACGAGGAUCAUCGGAUACAAUUUGCCGAGCUGCUUUAUUACUUUCUAGAACUAUACAAGGGGAAAUCCCCUAUAUCGACGUAUCGAUCAGAGGAGACAAAAACGCAGUUGACGGUCCAAAUACCAUAUAAUUAAAUACCAUAAUUAUAAUACCAUAAUUAAAAUCUAAAAAGUGUUUUCGUCAACGUUUAGUGGUGAUUUACCGAGGUGAUUGAUUUUGCGCGUAAAUACGUUUUUUAACAAUUGUCAUCGAUACCUUGUCAAGGCCGUUGUUAUUAACAAAUUCGUCGCGUUGUUAACAAGCAGGGAGAUACAUGCAACCCCGACAAAAAGAAAGGAAUCCUGAUUAAUGGAGCAAGUUUCCAACGCCUUGCCAUUCCAGACAUUCUAAGCGAAGCCAAGCUGACCGCAAGCGAACAGAUAUACAAGACACAAGCAAUUGAUCCGUCCUAUCAUCGAUAGAACGGAGCAGCGAAAACAUCGAAGGCAGGAGCAGCGAGGACGUCACAGCCAGGAACACAUAAAUCGGAGCGGAUAAAUUAAUUUAAUAAACACGUGUACGUAUAUACUUCGUUCGAAAUGAAUUGUUCGCUGCAUACCACUAUAAAAUAGAAAAUAAAAUUUUUUUUCCAAUAUUA